AAAAAAAAUGCAGGGAUAUCAAAUAAAGAAUAUCUUGAGCUUUUUUCGUCUUCGAUUGUUUUAUGACAAAGAGAAUCUGAGAUACAGUGUAAUCAAAGUAAGUCAUAAUGUGAAAAGUUGACAACGUGACCAAUAAAUCAUCGAAUGCAAAGAGUUUUAAGAGAAAGAAAUGUCAAAUGCUCUUUGGAAAGAAAUCAUAUUUUGACACUGAUGGACAUUUGCGUCUUGUGUAUGGCAUUGCUUCACAUUUUAUUAACACAUUUCAGUAAAAUCACGCAGUAUAAAGCUGGAAAACUUUAUCAAUUAUUCUAAAAUCCUUAUGAUAAUUAUUGAUCAUGGCACUCCUAAAAUUUAACUCAGUAUUUACCUUUUCCCUGAUGCUUUUCUUUUUCCUGCAAUGUGGUGAAGGAAGCAAAAUACCCUUACAAAGCCUUGGGGAAGAUACCAAUGAAAGCGACAAUAAUGGAUUGUUUCAUCAGCACAAAAUUGUUACCAGAAGAACAAGGUGCAAUUCAUCAUGUGUUGGAAUACCCCAGACUGAAUACUGCAGAAAUUGUUGGAAGGUUGGAUAAACCAUGAAAUAAUAUACAAAAACCAAUAACAUGAAGAAAAAAAAAUUAAAAACGAUGAAAUAUCUUUGAAGAAAAACAAAUAGGUUUAAAGAUUCACCAAAUUAUAUUGUUUUUUAUAUUGUCAUUCUUUUCUUAUACCAAAUAUAAUUUUAUACAUCGUUAGUCUUUUUAUAUUUAUUGCAAAAUUUUGAAUUAUUUUGUCUGAAAAUACUUAGUAAUAUUGAAGUCUUCUAGGCUUCAAUCAGGCGAAAAUAAUUAACACCAGACAGUUUCAAUGAUUUUUAAACAAAGAAUUCUUUUGUAGCAAGAAUAAAAUUGAUUUUGUCGUGA
rnacentral:lncRNA from 1 species